rnacentral:miRNA from 1 species
CUCUUUAAUCCCAACUCCACC